GACGAACGCUGGCGGCGUGCUUAACACAUGCAAGUCGAACGAAAAGAGGGAAAGAGCUUGCUCUUUCCGGAAUUGAGUGGCAAACGGGUGAGUAACACGUAAACAACCUGCCUUCAGGAUGGGGACAACAGACGGAAACGACUGCUAAUACCGAAUAAGUUCCAAGAGCCGCAUGGCCCAUGGAAGAAAAGGUGGCCUCUACCUGUAAGCUAUCGCCUGAAGAGGGGUUUGCGUCUGAUUAGCUGGUUGGAGGGGUAACGGCCCACCAAGGCGACGAUCAGUAGCCGGUCUGAGAGGAUGAACGGCCACACUGGAACUGAGACACGGUCCCGACUCCUACGGGAGGCAGCAGUGGGGAAUCUUCCGCAAUGGGCGAAAGCCUGACGGAGCAACGCCGCGUGAGUGAUGACGGCCUUCGGGUUGUAAAACUCUGUGAUCCGGGACGAAAAGGCAGAGUGCGAAGAACAAACUGCAUUGACGGUACCGGAAAAGCAAGCCACGGCUAACUACGUG
rnacentral:rRNA from 1 species